rnacentral:lncRNA from 1 species
GAUCUUAUUCUUUCUGCAUAGGUGAUCAAUCAUUAAACUGGAAGAAAGGAAAGAUAAUUUUCAAUUCGAUAAGCAAAAUCCAACUACACUGUAAUCGUGAGAGAUCUAGGAAGACAGUGUGGAAAGGGUUUUGUUCUCACCCUGGAAGGAAACUAUGUAUUAUAAUAUACUAUCAAAAGAAUUGAAGAAUUAAUACAUCCUGAUUACUAAAAAUUUAAGAGACAAAAAGGAAUCAUAUUAUAUUAAGAAUUCUUUUCUUAUACAAAUUGUAUUGCCAAGCCUCGUACCAGAGAUGCCAUGGGAAUCAUUUUACAAAUAGAAUGCAGCAGCAGUUUAAAGGAUCUCUUAAUACUCAAACAUAAUUAACUUGUGUUCAAUCAAUGUACUGGAAAAGCGAGACUA